rnacentral:rRNA from 1 species
GAUGAACGCUGGCGGCGUGCCUAAUACAUGCAAGUCGAGCGGAGCGGGGACGGGUGAGUAAAACGUGUGUAACCUCCUAUAAGACGGGGAUAACUUCGGGAAACCGGAGCUAAACCGGAAUCUUAUACAAUGAUCCGCGCUCCAUUAGCUAGUUGGUAAGGUAACGGCUGACCAAGGCAACGAUGCAUAGCCGACCUGAGAGGGUGAUCGGCCACACUGGAACUGAGACACGGCCCAGACUCCUACGGGAGGCAGCAGUGGGGAAUCUUCCGCAAUGGGCGAAAGCCUGACGCAGCAACGCCGCGUGAGUGAUGAAGGUCUUCGGAUCGUAAAACUCUGUUAUUAGGGAAGCGGUACCCAAUGAGAAAGCCACGGCUAACUACGUGCCAGCAGCCGCGGUAAUAC